rnacentral:tRNA from 1 species
GUGGCCAAGUGGUAAGGCGCGGGACUUUGGAUCCCGUAUUCGAAGGUUCGAAUCCUUCC